GUAGACAAAACAUGGAAGCUACUAGAUUUUUCCCACACACCCUUUUCUCAUUCUCUUUCCCGUAUUCCUCUUUCCUCUUUGUUCUUUCAUGUCACCACUUCUUCCUCUUCCAAAUUUUCUACUUUUUCCUUCAAAUCAUCAAUUUUCUUCCUCAAAUCGAACACCCAAAAUAAAUAUUAUGCAUCUAAGCAAGCUAUUUCAUAGCACAAGCUCUAUUUGGUAGAAUUUUGGGAUAUGAGUUUGUGCCUUGGGAAAGAAGAGGAAUACCCAUAUAGUGAAAGUUGUUCAUUGAGACUUCUUCGAGAUAUGACGCCAGACGCUUCACAUGCUUCUUCAGGAGUGGUUAGAGCGCAAACAUAGUUGAUUCGUCGUAACUAUUCAAAGUCAAGUGCGUAGAAAGCUUGUAGCAGAGUUAAAGAUAUAUCAAUGUCAUUCUUUUGGUAGGUCUCCUAUGUGUAUGAACUGAAUGGUCGAUGUAUCCGCAGCUAUUGGUAGUCUAGAAAUAUUUUGUUUUGAAUUGUAUAAACAUCUAGUUAUGUCACUUUGAGAUUCUGCUGAUAAUACAAGUAUAUAGACAGAAUUCAUAUCUUGGAUAGUAUUAAAAAAUUCAAAGGACACUCUGUCGAAAUUUCAUUGAAUAUCAUUUUAAGUGAAA